UUAUGCUAAGUGGGGAGGUAGCGGUGCCUUGUACCUGCAAUCCGCUAUAGCAGGGCUGAAUUCCUGUUGUGAGGCUUGGUUCUGUUAAGGACUGACUCAAGUAAGUGGUGAUGAAGGUUGGGUCCUGAGCAACUUGAAGUUAUUAAACCCCGUCAGAUCCGGAAGGAAGCAGCGGUAGAUAAUCUGAGAGUGUGACGCAGGGUAGCCUGAUUGGAGCAAGCUGCUUGAGUAACGCUUGGGAGACCUUGUCAAGCUAUGGGUGCAUAA
rnacentral:SRP_RNA from 1 species